rnacentral:rRNA from 1 species
CGCCCUUAGAGUUUGAUCCUGGCUCAGAUUGAGCGCUGGCGGCAGGCCUAACACAUGCAAGUCGAACGGUAAAACAGCUUGCUGUUUACGAGUGGCGGACGGGUGAGUAAUGUCUGGGAAACUGCCUGAUGGAGGGGGAUAACUACUGGAAACGGUAGCUAAUACCGCAUAACGUCGCAAGACCAAAGAGGUUCGUCUUGCCAUCAGAUGUGCCCAGAUGGGAUUAGCUAGUAGGUGGGGUAACGGCUCACCUAGGCGACGAUCCCUAGCUGGUCUGAGAGGAUGACCAGCCACACUGGAACUGAGACACGGUCCAGACUCCUACGGGAGGCAGCAGUGGGGAAUAUUGCACAAUGGGCGCAAGCCUGAUGCAGCCAUGCCGCGUGUAUGAAGAAGGCCUUCGGGUUGUAAAGUACUUUCAGCGGGGAGGAAGGGAGUAAAGUAAUCUUUGCUCUUGACGUUACCCGCAGAAGAAGCACCGGCUAACUCCGUGCCAGCAGCCGCGGUAAUACGGAGGGUGCAAGCGUUAAUCGGAAUUACUGGGCGUAAAGCGCACGCAGGCGGUUUGUUAAGUCAGAUGUGAAAUCCCCGGGCUCAACCUGGGAACUGCAUCUGAUACUGGCAAGCUUGAGUCUCGUAGAGGGGGGUAGAAUUCCAGGUGUAGCGGUGAAAUGCGUAGAGAUCUGGAGGAAUACCGGUGGCGAAAGCGGCCCCCUGGACGAGACUGACGCUCAGUGCGAAAGCGUGGGGAGCAACAGGAUUAGAUACCCUGGUAGUCCACGCCGUAACGAUGUCGACUUGGAGGUUGUGCCCUUGAGGCGUGGCUUC